GGCGACGUAGCCAAGUGGCAAGGCAGAGGUCUGCAAAACCUUCACCAUCGGUUCGAAUCCGAUCGUCGCCU
rnacentral:tRNA from 1 species